GGGGGAUAACGUUUGGAAACGAACGCUAAUACCGCAUGAUAUUAUUGAGCUGCAUGGCUUGAUAAUCAAAGGAGCAAUCCGCUGAAAGAUGGGCUCGCGUCCGAUUAGGUAGUUGGCGGGGCAACGGCCCACCAAGCCGACGAUCGGUAGCCGGACUGAGAGGUUGAACGGCCACAUUGGGACUGAGACACGGCCCAGACUCCUAUGGGAGGCAGCAGUGAGGGAUAUUGGUCAAUGGGGGAAACCCUGAACCAGCAACGCCGCGUGAGGGAAGACGGUUUUCGGAUUGUAAACCUCUGUCCUCUGUGAAGAUGAUGACGGUAGCAAAGGAGGAAGCUCCGGCUAACUACGUGCCAGCAGCCGCGGUAAUACGUAGGGAGCAAGCGUUGUCCGGAUUUACUGGGUGUAAAGGGUGCGUAGGCGGCUUUGCAAGUCAGAAGUGAAAUCCAUGGGCUUAACCCAUGAACUGCUUUUGAAACUGCAGAGCUUGAGUGGAGUAGAGGUAGGCGGAAUUCCCGGUGUAGCGGUGAAAUGCGUAGAGAUCGGGAGGAACACCAGUGGCGAAGGCGGCCUGCUGGGCUCUAACUGACGCUGAGGCACGAAAGCGUGGGUAGCAAACAGGAUUAGAUACCCUGGUAGUCCACGCUGUAAACGAUGAUUACUAGGUGUGGGUGGACUGACCCCAUCCGUGCCGGAGUUAACA
rnacentral:rRNA from 1 species